CUGCCAAAAGGGAAGUGGUCUCAGCCCUUAAGAUAUCUUGAAGCAGCUGAAAUGGUUAUAUUUUGUUUUGAAGUAGUGAAAAAAAAUGAAUCUUUCAUUUACUUUUUUUGAUCAAAAAUGAAACAGUUAACUUAAUAAAAUAAAGACAAUCUUAAUGAUAGUCAAGGCUUAUUAGUUAACACUGUUUAGUUGAUGUUUAUAAACAGAUUAUACUAAUUCCUACUGAGGUCAGUAAAAACCAUUUAUAUGGAUAUGAGGGAGUAUUAUAGGACUUUACUAUAUAUUGCUUGGUUAGAACAAGAACUAUACAUUCUUAGAACAAGAGUCGGGAACAGAGAUGUCAUGUGUUUAAAAGUCUUCUGCUGCUUUAUAGAACCAUGGAAAUUCCAGUAGAGCAACUCAUGCUGCUUUAUAGAACCAUGGAAAUUCCAGUAGAGCAACUCAUGCUGGAACUUACUUUGUCAGAGCAUGCUCCCAAAAGAACACAGAAUAGUAAACAAGGGGUAUUCCAGUUAUGGAGUUAUCCUCUCAACAAAGGAAGUGCCACGGAGAACAGGACAGAAACCUUAGCUCAUGUCUUCUGGUGUCAUCGUCUUCCACUGAGCUGCACCUAAAACACAAAGAACAAGUAACAAGCAACUUUGUUUUUUAAAGAACACGUAACAGUUUUGAAGGCAUAAGAUGAACUGUCUCUAAGUGGAAGUUAACUUACUUAAAUAAGUAUAUAAAAUGGAGCCAUGAAAAUCACCAGAAACAUACAAGCGCUAACUGUCAACAUUCUGAGUGAAAAUGACUAGGAGAGACCUGACCAUGCAGCAUACUGUCACCAAAGUAAAGAGCGGGGGAAAAUCGCUACCCGCUUCAUUCAGGUAGGAAAGCUGCACCUGUGGCGCCUUGUUUACAAGGCGUCACCACCUGAGGAUGAGAACCACCUGGCGUUUAUGUCAGUUUACGUCUGAACCACGAGGAGACGGGGGUACAGAGUCAAAGCUGGCCUAUCGUAUCAUCUAUCACCUUCCUGGCUGUAGUGCAUUUCAUGCCUUUAAAUGGAGUAAAACCCACCAGAAGAAUGCUGCUACUCUGAUUUUCCAUUCUUGAAUGCACCAAAAUGUGCAUGCUUGUUGUAAUUAGGUGCCUGGGUGAAUAAAAAAAUCCCAUUUACAAUUUAAAAAUAUUAUUUAAACCCCUAAAAUCUGAUGAUUUUCCACAUUCCUCAGGGAGACAAGCAUUAAUUUUACCACCCAAACAGAAAAGAUUACAUACAUUUCUGAAAAUUCUCUGCUAUCAUGUUAAAAAAUACUAAUUUCUUCGUGCUGCAAAACCAAACCGAUUUACAUGAUUUUGUUUUAAAUUGUUGCUAAAUGUUUAUCUACACAUGCUGUCAGAAAUAACCUUGUUAGGAAGGUGAAGCUGGUGUCUCAGCAAAUCAGACCCCUUGGAGAAGGCGGUGAGUGGCCUGUGCCCCGUUUUCCUUUUUCUCUUUCCGCACCAUCAGAAGGAAAAGUGAGAAAAUAGCAGAAACAUUAGUUAAAUCCUGAAUUAUACCCCAUAACCUACAGGAAUUACCUCACUACACUGAAAGCUGACAAUACUGGUAGAAUUUUUUGAUGAAAUAAUUAGGAUCCUAAUUAUUAAUAAAAUGAUAAACUUCUGGCUAGGUUUACAUCUUUAACAAAUAAUUCUUUCAGUUAAAGACUUAAAGGAAGAAACGCAAGGUUGCUUUUAACGCUAUAUCGUUUACCUGACUUACCAGCACUGAAGACAACAACUUUUAAAAAUGGCUACAAAUGCCUUGUUCACAAAAGACUUUAUUACCUAGUGAUGCAUACUGAGAGCGUACAGAAAUCUGCAUGGUCCGCCGCCACAUGCAGUAGAACAAUCUUCACUGUACAGUAAGUGAGUGUCAACUGUUUUAUGCAAUAGACAACACCUUAACGCCACAUCCUUAAAGAAAAGCUUCAUUUACAAAAGAAAGAAAAGGUAAAGAAGCAAUUACCGCUUUUAAAAAGCAGCUGCUUUGCUCAAGAGUGGAAGGUUUAUGCCUGUAUUGAAAGACAACAUGAUCACAAAUAAUGAAAACAAUGAACAAAUGAAAAACACUUUUACCAUAAAGCAGUACACUUUCAAAAUGACAUACAAAUAGUUAAAAACUUCAUUAUGUUGUCUAUCUAACUUUUAAAUAUGAGGACUUCCAGAAUUAGGCCUCAACAUUUGUUAUUAGUAAAUGAAAACUACGCAUUGUUUCUAUGUCACUAGGAACUGUAUUUAGACAAAAUGUAUAUAAAGUCUAUAGCAAGUUGAUUUAAAAAAAAUUAAAGUUAAUAAGAAACAGUACACUGAAGGCGCUCUAUCCAUCAAGCGCAUACUCUUCAAAUUUCAAAUGUGAUGAACAGAACAGAAAUUGUAACUAUGCCACAGUUGCAAUGCCAAAAAAUAAAACAAGAUCAGUUAUCACACAUGCAGGGAAUUCCGCCACAAAGCUACUGUCCCUCAUUUGUCAAUUGUUCCAAUAAAAUAACAUCUUAAAACACCAGUG
ensembl:lncRNA